rnacentral:sRNA from 1 species
GAAGCUUUACGUGCUCUUCUUGGUUCAUCUAUAUAUCCUGUUUA